AUGUCGCAAAUGGGAUCCAUGGUCGUGGACGAGAAACACACCUGGGCGAUGGAGGAGCAAGGCUGGACCUCCCCACCCUGGGAUCAAUCCUCGGUCGAGGCCGCGUGGCGGAGCGAGGCCAGGUUGUAUAAUCAUUUCAAGGUCUGGCAAAUCUCCAACAAGACCAAGAAGGGGAAGGGCAAAGAGGCGUUUAUCGGUCUCCUCCUGGAGGCCCUCCGCGCCGCUAGGAAGAGCGCCCGGGACCUGGAAGAACAAGUGACUCGGUGGCGGAGACGGGUCGAGGAGGCCGAGCGAGAUGCGGCCAUGUGGAACUUCGGGGCGCUAACUGAGCGAGUGCGCCUAUUAGAGGAGAAGGUAGAGCCCAUCGUCCUGGUCCGUCUGGAGCAGCACCUACUUCAGUGCCUGAAGCAGUACCUCCAGGUCCCCAUCCCCGUCGACCAAACUAGGGCGGGCCCGGACGAGGACGACCCUGAAUGGGCCCGGCCCUCCGAGCCCGACCGCCUCCCUGGUGAGGAUGAGGAUGACCCCUGUGGAAUAGGGAAGACACCCAGGAAUACCGAUUUGGGGAGCUCCCCUACAGCCUCCGCUCGUCAGGUCGUUAAGGUGAGGGGCGUCUCGCCAGGCCUUGGAGCCCGGGGAGCGGCGGCCGGGAGGCCUGAUCGAAUGAUACCCGUGAACCGUUUUACCUGGGAGGAGUUGGUCGGCCUGCAGGAGCGGUUCCGGAAACAGCCGACCGAAAAUUGGCUGGACUGGCUCCACCGCCUGUGGAGAGGAGGGGGGACGCUGGCCCUUUUACUCCCCGAAGAGGCACGGGGUCUUCAGAUCGCCCACGGCCGGCAGUUGGCACCACCCCCGGACGCGGGGCCUACCUUUUCGCUCUGGGACAGCGCCCUCCAACUAGUCAGGGGUAUUCCUUGGGAGGACUGUGUCUGGAUGGCAGAGAGGUGGUCUACCCUAGAGCACUUGGAAAGGUUGUUGGAAAAACUGGCCAUAGAGACCCUCCUAAGGAAACAGUGGGAAGAUGGGAACGAUCCCAUGGCCCAGACCGUCUCGGUGAGCUCCGUGCAGAGGCUCGCCAGGCAGGCCGCCCCGGGAUUACCUCAACUCGUCGUGCUGAGCGCCUUCGCCCAGACCAGAGGUCCGGCUGUGGGCCACCCCACUUUCAGCGACCUCAUCUCCCAAGCCAUCAAGUACUGGGAUCUAAGUCGUCCUCCGGUUGAGAGGCGAGUCCGGGAACCGAGGACCGCUGUGGUGACUAGAGAGCGGGAGCUUGGGAGAUUUUGGUCCCCAAGUCCCAGGGCAGGCGAGACCAAGAGGAUCGAGGGGCCAGGAUGCCCCCGAGACGGACCCCGGCAGGAUAAGCGGCGGAACCUCUGGCGGUGGUUGACCCAGGAGGGGGGUUUUACGAGGGAACAGAUAGAUGGACUCCCCACCCAGGUCCUCCAACAGCUGUGGGACGGACGGUCCAGGGGGGAGGGAGAGAAGCCCUCCAGAGGGAGAAACGGGCUGGGGACCCCGAGCGACCCUUCCUCCCGGUGGUUCGAAUAG
rnacentral:lncRNA from 1 species